CCUUUGACGUUAGCGGCGGACGGGUGAGUAACACGUGGGUAACCUACCUAUAAGACUGGGAUAACUUCGGGAAACCGGAGCUAAUACCGGAUAAUAUUUCGAACCGCAUGGUUCGAUAGUGAAAGAUGGUUUUGCUAUCACUUAUAGAUGGACCCGCGCCGUAUUAGCUAGUUGGUAAGGUAACGGCUUACCAAGGCGACGAUACGUAGCCGACCUGAGAGGGUGAUCGGCCACACUGGAACUGAGACACGGUCCAGACUCCUACGGGAGGCAGCAGGU
rnacentral:rRNA from 1 species